CUCUUAUAGAUUUUAUAGAAUUUGGUUUUUAGGUGAAGAAACCUAAAUAUAAUUAAAAGACAAGAAGACCCUAUCGAGCUUAAAAUAAUUUUUUUUGUAUAAUGAUAACACCUUACUCAAAAAAAGAUUUUAGUUGGGGCGACUAAGGAACAGAAAAAGCUUCCUAUAAGCUAUAGUUACUAAUAAGUAUUGAUCCAAAAAAUUUGAUUAACAGAAUUAGUUACCGUAGGGAUAACAGCAUAAUCUUUUCUAAGAGUCCUUAUCGAAGAAAAGGUUUGUGACCUCGAUGUUGGACUAGGGUGCCCAGAUAGGUGCAGAAGCCUUCAAUGGUUGGUCUGUUCGACCA
rnacentral:rRNA from 1 species